CCCUUAGAUGUCCUGGGCCGCACGCGCGCUACACUGAGUGUCUGAGAUACGAGUCUGCCUGGUCCGGCAAGGUCUAGGUAAUCGCUAAAAGACACAUCAUGCUUGGGAUAGAUUAUUGCAAAUAUUAAUCUUGAACGAGGAAUUCCUAGUAAGCGCAAGUCAACAGCUUGCGUUGAUUACGUCCCUGCCCUUUGUACACACCGCCCAUCGCUACUACUGAUUGGAUGUUUAAGCGAGGUUCUCGAACUGCUAGCGACUUAGCUUCGGUGAGGUCGCAGUGUGGGAAGUGAACCUAGCUUUGGUGUCUAGAGGAAGUAAAAGUCGUAACA
rnacentral:rRNA from 1 species